rnacentral:rRNA from 1 species
CCAAUAGCGUAUAUUAAAGUUGUUGCAGUUAAAAAGCUCGUAGUUGAAUUUCGGGGUCAGUAGGUUGGUCAUGCCACUGGUAUGUACUGGUCUCACUGAUUCCUCCUUCCUGAUGAACUGCAAUGCCAUUAAUUUGGUGUUGCAGGGAAUCUGGACUGUUACUUUGAAAAAAUUAGAGUGUUUAAAGCAGGCUAACGCCUGAAUACAUUAGCAUGGAAUAAUGAAAUAGGACGUUCGAUCCUAUUUUGUUGGUUUCUAGGAUUGACGUAAUGAUUAAUAGGGAUAGUUGGGGGCAUUAGUAUUCAAUUGUCAGAGGUGAAAUUCUUGGAUUUAUUGAAGACUAACUACUGCGAAAGCAUUUGCCAAGGAUGUUUUCAUUAAUCAAGAGCGAAAGUUAGGGGAUCGAAGACGAUCAGAUACCGUCGUAGUCUUAACCAUAAACUAUGCCGACUAGGGAUCGGAUGAUGUUAAUUUUUUAAUGACUCAUUCGGCGCCUUACG